rnacentral:rRNA from 1 species
CCUACGGGUGGCAGCAGUGAGGAAUAUUGGUCAAUGGACGAGAGUCUGAACCAGCCAAGUAGCGUGAAGGAUGACUGCCCUAUGGGUUGUAAACUUCUUUUAUAAAGGAAUAAAACGAGGCACGUGUGCCUUUUUGCAUGUACUUUAUGAAUAAGGAUCGGCUAACUCCGUGCCAGCAGCCGCGGUAAUACGGAGGAUCCGAGCGUUAUCCGGAUUUAUUGGGUUUAAAGGGAGCGUAGAUGGGUUGUUAAGUCAGUUGUGAAAGUUUGCGGCUCAACCGUAAAAUUGCAAUUGAUACUGGCAGUCGUGAGUACAGUUGAGGUAGGCGGAAUUCGGGGUGUAGCGGUGAAAUGCUUAGAUAUCACGAAGAACCCCGAUUGCGAAGGCAGCUUACUAAACUGUGACUGACAUUGAUGCUCGAAAGUGUGGGUAUCAAACAGGAUUAGAUACCCCUGUAGUC